rnacentral:lncRNA from 1 species
AAUUGUCCAUCUCCUAAGAGUGAGAUGUACUAAGGAGAUGGACACUAAGGACCUAAGUGUAACUUUUUUUAAGGACCCCAGAGGGUUAAACAUGUUAUUCUUUCAUGGGUUUCGCUUCUUAAUCCUCCUAAAACCCAUGACAGCAAGCAUACUUCCUUGAGUCACAUGAAUGUCUGCAUUGUGUAAUAUCCUCCCGCCUUCCCAGAAGCCUCCCAGUCACUAACUUUCUGUUUUCUCCCAGCUGGCCUCUCGAGAAUCCAGUUGCCUGUGGUGCCUUGUUUUAGUCAAUUAGAGCUAACUGGUGGGAAGUGGCUACUGCUGUUCGCGCAACAUUUCUGGAAAUCACAAGCAGGACCUGGGAGACCGGGAGGAAAAGCUACGAGCAAGCAGGAGAUCAGGAGCACGCUUCCUCCACAACCUCACUCUGCAGAAGGUGAUCAUGUCUUUUAUACUCACACGACAGGUAUUCAUUAGGUUAAUAGCUACCUCCUCUUUUAACCUCUGCUGAUGUCACACAGACUAACAGCAUGCAGUAAAACUGUUAAUGUACCUGUGGUGAUGAUCACAAGUGUUUAAGCUUGCUGUGUAUUUGCUUGCAAUUUGAAUCGUCUCUUUAGCAGCUCACUUUAUAAUUUUAGAGCAAAAGCAAAAUGUGAUAAAGUUGUAGAAGAAUGGACAUGUUUUAUGAAAGGUUUCAGGCUUUAGGAGAGACCAGAGUCUGGUUGAUGUGUUUUCUUUUUUUUCUUUUUCUUUUCAAUCCAAAAGGCGUUCCCCAAAAGCACGGGAUCCACCGUGGGGACACGCUCUUGUUGAAUGUGUAAUUUAUUGCCCAACCUUAAGUGACAGCAGUGUCACAACAGGAAAUCACACAUUAUGUGGAGCUGAGACAGAAGUGCCUGCAGGGGGAGGGGGGAGGAUCUGAAUGGGGAUUCUUGAAGCUAAAACAGGUUUAAGGGAUCUGACAGGAAACAACACUUUCACACUCACUAAAACCAUCAGUUCUACAAUCUCGACUUCAAGGCUGAGCUUCAGGGCAGAUUUUUCUGGGGGAUUUUAACCCACUCACACUCACACACAAAAAAGCACCUCUUAAUAUUUCUUGGAAAAAUUAAAUUUAUCUCCUUUAAUGCAGCCUAAAAUCAUCAGGUAGGGAAGGUUACGAGAAAGAUUCCAAUUAGCAGUUUUUAAUCAUGGUUUGAAAGCUUGAAAUAGCAGCACAUGAUACUCCUGGCUGCUGUUUGCUAUUCCACGAUGACAGAUGAGGUAAUGCUCAUUACCGAAGUUCAGCAUGAUCUCAGCUGAUCUGCUAUAAGUGUGUGACUAAUGUGCUACUGCCGGUCUUCAACGCUGUGUGUAAGUGGGUGGCACGCUGGCGGAUGGGCCUGGUGGAUGCUGCUUGGGUUUGCCAGCUUAUCAUGCUUUGUAAAGGCCAAUGCCUAAUCCUGACAAGUACAUCCAGAUCAUCAACGAGGCAUGUUUCAAUCUGAUAAUCUCACAUCAUCGCUGAGGAGUCUUGAGCGUUUGAAAGAAGUCACUCUCAUGUUAUUGUAGGAGCUGACAAACUCUCCUUCCAUGCAGCGACAGGUCUGAUAAUAACUGUUUUUGGCUUUGCAAAGCAUGCUGAUGUGUGCCUCUAUAAGGAACUCCAAUUUUCCCGUCUUCCUCCUCAGUCUAGGAUGGCCAGCUGCGGGUCCUGUUUCUGGUGCAUCAUCUGGCUGGUGGUUCUACUUUGUAUCGGCUGGCCCCUUGCAAUCACCUUAGGGGGGCUCUAUGGCCUCGUCAGCCCACUCACCACCUGCCUCGGCCUGGAUAGACUCUCCGAUCUGCUCCUGGAGGGAGCUAACCUGGGCCGAACCUGUGCCAAUAACAUGAGGCACGGCAAGCCUUUGUGUUGAGAUCAGAACCAGAGAUGAAGAGUUCCUCUACUUCGAGGAGGACUUUUUGAGUCUUAUUUUAUGUGAAGAUAUCCUCAGAUGAUUGGCACUGAAUAAAGCGAGAAACUUAUUUCUUUUUUUUUUCUUUUUUUUUUUACCAAUUUAUGUAACAAUAAGGGCCGGAAGGUCUGGAAAAUGGAUUCUUCUUGUUCUGUUAACACAUAAUUAACCAUGGAUUUGAAAUUUGUAUUGGUUUGUCAGGAAGGAAAUAGGCUUUGUGUUCAUGGUCUGUGUUUGCUGUUUAAUUCACGAUGACACUGCAAGGAGAAGAUAACAGUGAAAAUGGCAAUUUAACAAUGGAAAUGCUUAGACUUGUAAAUGACUGUAUGGAAACUUUUAAUGCGAUUAAAAGUGCUUUGAACUUGCCCUCUCUGA